GCUGCUGCAGGUGGAUGUGAGAGGCAGAGGACAGAGUUUGAUGCACCAUGGCUUCCACACUGGCGCUCCUGCUUCAGCUGCUCCUGGUCUCACUGGCGUCUGCAUCACAUCACUUUGGGGGAACCGUGACCUUCACCUACAAAGGAAGAAACCCUGAUGGCACAUUUAAGGUGGACAUUCGCAACAGGGCGACCUACGAUGGGUGUCAGUAUUCCCACUACUGGUAUUGCUACUCCGGCAACUGUGGCCAAAAUACCAGAUAUCAGAGAGGCGUACUUGACAGGAGCACCAAUGCACCACAAUAUAACAGCCAAUGGUGUGAAACUGAAACCGUCAUUAGGAGAAAUGUCGCCAGUGACAGACCUUUUCAAAUGAGGGCUUCUAGCUGUUGUUGGAUCUCGACUCGUAACUGGGUUAAUAAUUGGAAUCUACUGACACAUGUGGAUUUGGGAACAAGAUCUGACACUGGAAAACCAAACAGAUCACCGGACAUUGCCAUUCUACCUUUCCUACGAGUGCCUCAGAACUGCCCACGGACAUACAAGCUGAUUUCCUUUGAUCCUGAUGGUGACCAAGUCCGAUGCAGAUAUGGAAAUAAUCCAGGAACAGAGUGCAGCAGGUGUGACCAACCUUCAGGCUUCCACUUAGAUCAGGGCUCUUGCACAUUACACUACAACUACGCCAGUGCCAACCCCAGCGUUUAUGGAUUUGAGAUGGUGGUGGAGGACUUCCCUAAAAGAAGCAUCACUGUGGCCUACACCGACGGAUCCACAUCCCUCAGGGCUCCACUGUCUAUGAGGAGAAAGAGAGCAGCUCCCACAUACUCGUCAUGGUAUCCCACAACCACUGCACCAGCACCAACCACAAUCCCAUGGUGGUGGCAUACUACAACCCCAUGGUGGUGGCAUACUACAACGACAGCACCGACCACAACCACCGCACCGACCACAACCACCGCACAGACCACAACCGCAGCACAGACCACAACCCCAUGGUGGUGGUGGUAUACUUCAACCACAACACCAACCACAACCGCAGCACCAACCACAACCCCAUGGUGGUGGUGGUGGCAUACAUCAACCACAACACCGACCACAACUGCAGCACCAACAACAACCGCAGCACCAACCACAACCCCAUGGUGGUGGUGGUGGCAUACAUCAACCACAACACCGACCACAACUGCAGCACCAACAACAACCGCAGCACCAACCACAACCCCAUGGUGGUGGGCUCCUACAACCUCAUGGUGGUGGCAUACUACAACCACAGCACCGACCACAACGACAGCACCGACCACAACCGCAGCACCAACCACAACCCCAUGGUGGUGGGCUCCUACUACCCCAUGGUGGUGGUAUACUACAACCACUCAAGAACCUACUACAACCACCCCAAUCUACACUACCACCACGACACACCUGCAUGCCUCCACUGCUCCUCUCAGUAAACUACCUUUGCAGUUCUCUUUACUUGUGGACCCAGCUGCUCCCUCGUGUCAGGAGGGACUCUACCUGCCAAAGUUUGUGUCCCCAACACCUAAAAACGGAGAACACAUCCAAGCAGAGGUCAACAAAGAAGUGGAGAUAAAAGUCAAAGCCCAAGCUUCAUACGCAACAAUACACGAUAUUAUCAUCAGUGGACCGCUGAACAUCAGCAAACACAAGCACCAUGACGAGUUUGUCAUUCGGUGGACGCCUACCGUAGAUGACCUGGGAGAUCAUUACGCAAUCUGCUUCGCUGUUGAGGCAGUGACAGGGGCUGCUGUGACCGGCUUUCAACCCACACACCAUUCCCAUUACCACCCCACCCCAACCUCACAGUCUGGCAUCUAUCAGUCUGAGAUGAGGUGUGUUGUAGUGGACAUUGGGAAGAAACAAGUUGAAGCCAAUGUGAUUUGCACGGAGUCUACAAUGAGGGUCGAGGUUGAGAAAACUUCAUUUGCUGGACUCCACGAGGAUCAUUUGCGGCUCAGUGACUCCACCAACACCGACUGCAGCCUCCAGAGACACUCCAACAGCACUCACAUCGUCGCUGUGAUCCCGCUCAACGCUUGUGGCACUCAGAUCGAGGAAGACGAAGACAACCUAAUGUUCAAGAACGAAAUCACCACAGUCGACAACAGCGCUGACCUGAUCACCAGGAAACACCUGCUGGAAGUGCAGUUCUACUGCCAGUACCCCAAACGGGGGAAUGUGACACUGGGGUUCACAGCACACAGGAAGAACAUCACAGUCUGGGAGAAAGGCUUCGGCACAUUCACAUACCAGUUUGAGUUUUAUCCCAACGGCCAAUUCGAAACCAUGAUUGAUCCGGAUUCAUACCCUCUGGAGUAUGACAUAGGGGACAGGAUUUACAUGCAGAUAGAGGCCACCUCCUCCUCAGUCAACAACACCGAGCUGUUCGUGGAGUCCUGCACAGCUGCACCAUAUGACAACCCCAACUACUGGCCAACCUACCCCAUCAUUGAGAAUGGGUGUAAAGUGGACUCAACUGUUAAAAUCCAUUCCUCCGAUCACAAGGGCCAAUUCAGGUUCUGUGUGGAGGCCUUCAAGUUCAUCGGCUUGCAUGACCAGGUGUACAUCAGCUGUUCAGUCAUGAUGUGUGAAGCAGGGGACUCCGGCACCAGGUGCUCGCGGGGAUGCAUCAACUCCACAUGGUCAGGCGGUCACCAUCACCGCAGAAAGAGAGAGGUUGUCAGCCAGACUGCAAGGCACCUGGUUUCCCAGGGUCCUCUCCGCCUGAAGAGAUCGGCAGAGCUCACCGAAAGCCCAAUGAACCUGAACCUGAAUGUGAACCUGGUGUUCAUCGCUGGAUGUCUUCUUGCAGCUGUUGGUAUGAUCAGUGCAGUGGUCGUGUACAAAGCCAAAGUGUCAGGGGUCAAAUACCAACCUCUGCCCGUAUUCGAAAGUUAAGACAGCAGCAUGAGCAAAAUACCAGUCCAGAAUUAUUGAUUGAUUGAUUGAUUGAUUACUUUUACUAUCAGAUAUUGGGUGUUCAUGUAUCUAACUAUCAGGGUUCAGAGGUUUACUUUAAAAAUGUAAUCCAGUACAGUUACUUUUAUUGCCUGUUAAUCCACAACCUAAUCCAAGUAUCACAAUAUUAAAGUAAUGUAACUUUUCUGUUACUCAGUGCCAAAUAUGCAGAUAAAGACAAUUCUGUAAGACAACAGAACAAUGUAACCUUAGAAAAGAAAAUGGAAACCAAGAUUUUUAGCAUCAAAACGUCUUCUUUACUGUGAAGCUGUUCGACUUUUCUGCUUUAAAGACAAAAUACUGCAUUGUACAUGUGCAUGGUAGUAAAUCGUUCCUUAUUAGGGCCCGAACAGGAACUAGUUAUUAUUAUUAUUAUUUUAUUCCCCAAUUAAUUGCAUUUUUAGCUGCCCCAACCAGCUCUAAACUCAUAAAAUGUGCCACAAAAUUGGGUGAAAAUGUACGUAUUCUAAGGGUCUUGCAUAUGGGCGUAGCAAAAUGGCUCGACAGCGCCCCCUAAAGGCACAUUUUACUGAUAUUUUGAAAUUGUAAUCCUGUUUACAAUCCUCCAUUUUAACUGAAUGUAACUUUUUUUCUCUAUCUGUAUCCUGAUUACUUAACUCUACGAAUGAUGUGCUCAUUUAAAUGAGUGAAUUUUAUAUCAAGCAUAAUCUUUGCUCUGUCAAAUACCACCUUUACAUGUCAAAAGCAUACAGCUAGACCAAAUUCUAUUAUGUUUACUUUUUUAAUGGAUCAAUAAAAACAUGCAGAAAUCA